GACGGAGGAUGCAAGCGUUAUCCGGAAUGAUUGGGCGUAAAGCGUCUGCAGGUGGCAGUUCAAGUCUGCUGUCAAAGACCGGGGCUUAACUUCGGAAAGGCAGUGGAAACUGAACAGCUAGAGUAUGGUAGGGGCAGAGGGAAUUCCUGGUGUAGCGGUGAAAUGCGUAGAGAUCAGGAAGAACAUCGGUGGCGAAGGCGCUCUGCUGGACCAUAACUGACACUCAGGGACGAAAGCUAGGGGAGCGAAAGGG
rnacentral:rRNA from 1 species